CGCGGUAAUACGUAGGGUGCGAGCGUUAAUCGGAAUUACUGGGCGUAAAGCGUGCGCAGGCGGUUUUGUAAGUCAGAUGUGAAAUCCCCGGGCUUAACCUGGGAACUGCGUUUGAAACUACAAGGCUAGAGUGUAGCAGAGGGGGGUGGAAUUCCACGUGUAGCAGUGAAAUGCGUAGAGAUGUGGAGGAACACCGAUGGCGAAGGCAGCCCCCUGGGUUAACACUGACGCUCAGGCACGAAAGCGUGGGGAGCAAACAGGAUUAGAUACCCUGGUAGUCCACGCCCUAAACUAUGUCAACUAGUUGUCGGGCCUUAACGGGCUUGGUAACGCAGCUAACGCGUGAAGUUGACCGCCUGGGGAGUACGGUCGCAAGAUUAAAACUCAAAGGA
rnacentral:rRNA from 1 species